GCUGCUCCUCCGAGGGGGUAGCACGUGUUCCUUGUCAGUGUCCGUGUUUUUAGUGAUUUUCGGUGGCCAUUUUCCUCCUUGGGUGUUGGAUUACUAACCAUUGACGGAGUACCAACCCGUGACCCCUGUGUGAAGAGGAAGCAGCUGGGAAAUGAAGGAAGAAGACAUGAGGUAUGUGGGCUGGGCAGCAAGAGGGGGAGGAGGACGAGGGGGCUCAUCCCCCCGCCCCUCCCUCCGCCGCCCCAGCCAGCCUCUCAUUUGCGUCUACUGUCACAAACACCGCCUCCAUCCUCCCAACGUGUCCCUUCCACAAGCUUAUAUGGACUAAGCUUGUGAGGUGUGCAACGUCUGCUGAUAAGGUAAGCUUGUAAUCUCUCAUAUGUUUCGUGGCUUCUUAACAGGCGGCUUAUAGUGUCCUAAUCAUUUCGGCCCCCAAGCACACACAUUUUGACAAGGCUUUCGUCGGAGUUUUGAGGCAUUUGCAGAGGUAGUUUUAUGCCCCCUUCUGG